GACGUAGGGCGCAAGCGUUGUCCGGAUUUACUGGGCGUAAAGGAUGCGUAGGCGGACAUUUUAAGUCAGAUGUGAAAUACCCGAGCUUAACUUGGGUGCUGCAUUUGAAACUGGGUGUCUAGAGUGCAGGAGAGGUAAGUGGAAUUCCUAGUGUAGCGGUGAAAUGCGUAGAGAUUAGGAAGAACACCAGUGGCGAAGGCGACUUACUGGACUGUAACUGACGCUGAGGCAUGAAAGCGUGGGGAGCAAACAGG
rnacentral:rRNA from 1 species